CCAGCAUCUCCUUCUUCUCCCUCUGCUGGAAUAAUGACUUUGAAGACACUAAAGUAAAAGAACCAUCAACACAAGUGACAUGUCAUAGCAGGAGCUGACACAGCCUCACCAGCCCAUGCUCGGCCAGACUAGGGAGCAUCGGCCGCUUGUUCCAUCCUGUGCUUGUCUGCCUGCCUCUCUGUCAUGAGACGCAUUCGAAGAGUCCUGGGCCCAAAAGCAACUCACAGUCCAGGAAGACGUCCAGGCCUUGGGUGACGCUCAGUCUCAGUAAAUGGCCCUGGCUGGCAGGUGGUGGUGGGAGGGACCCAGUUAAAGCAUGUGGAUGAUCCGAACAACACAAGAAUAAGCUAGAAUGUGAAGCAGAGUCAAUCUUAUCAGUUAAUAAAGUCAAGUUGUUGAUUCAGAGAAGAUUGGCCCUGAGAGGAUUUCAGGAGCAGCAGUGUCAUCAGAGCCGAGGCUUCAUUUGUGGUUGUUACCACAAACUCUUGGCUGAACCCAGAGGUGGACAAGAUUUGGGUAUGUCUGCAGGGAAGGAAGCAGUGGUGGUGGAGAGGUAUUUAUGGGUUUUAAGAUUUAAAUAAAAGAAAAAACCACAUUGUCAUCUGAAAGAAGAUAAAUGGCAAAUUGUUGAAGCGACAGGCCCCUAGGGACUAAUUACUCUUCCGCAGUAAUUCAGGAACUUCACCAGUGACUUACAUUGACUUAACAUGUCAAAUGUCAGUUCUGUGUUAUGAAAUAAAAAUACAUGUUCUUUUAGUGUAAACAAUACAGAAAUGUUCUCAGAUGUCCCAAGUUGUUAGUCAUGUGGGACAGAUUCAGUGCCCUAUGAUGCAUGUCCACGGCUCUGUGCCUGAGGUUACAAAGUGUAACAGGGCAGCUUUAUAGUUAAAAUCCAAGUAGACACCUUGUUCAUCUGGGGGCUGAGGAGCACCCACACCACCCCUCGGAGACAUUCAUGUUGCACCUUCAGAAUGCAAGAGUGAUCAUGAAUAAGUGUUCCUGACACUCCAUUCUCCAAUCUUCAUUCUACUUUGGUUUUGGGGAGGUUGUUGCAGGACAUUGAUGGGGAGACCGCUGGCCAGCUGUGCCCCUGGUAGGGUUUCAGCCAGUAGCAGGGUGGCAAAGCUUACAGCACUGCGCUACAUGGUGUGAGCUGCUUUGGUUUCUCAUGGGGUAUCACCACAGGUCAAAUACAAUGUGUCUGCAAACCAGGCCGAGAAGCUGGUGCACAGCUCACACGCUACACAUGCUAACUCAAUUGAAAUAGGCUUUCAGCAACAGGUGCACACUAGUGCUUAUUCUACACGAGGCUCCAUGCAGGUCAUAGAGGGCUAAGGUUCUGUGUUCCGUAGAGCAGGCCCUGUCUUGCUGCUUCUUCUCUGUGGCUUGGCUCAAGGUCUAACAGUUUACAGAAACCCAAUCACUGUUGGUUGGCUUGAAGACAGGAUCUCUGCCUACAAACUUUUCAUAGUUUAGGAGAAAAAUCCUAUUAAUCAUCCAAGGUUCAACCAAGAAGAGAGGUCACUCUAAGUAUUUAUAACAGAGGACUCUCAUUGCCCAGGUUAUAGGAAGACUUUGAGGCCAGAGCACAGUGACAUUGGAGGGAGCCGCAACCCUCCCUGGGUUGAAGGAACUAAGGAGAAUGUGGCAGAAUUGGCCGGAAGCAGAAUUGCCUGUUUCCAGUGAGGCCCCCUUGCCCUCUUGGAAGCAAUUGCUGUGUAGGAAGUCUGAACACCUCACAGGAGAUGGAGGCCAGUUCCUGCCUGCUGUAGCCACCCAGCUGAAGGGGGUCCAGACACGAGUGGAGGCAUUGUGACCUCCAGCCUCAGCAGACACCUCCACACUGCGCAGGGCAGAGCAACCACGCCACCGAGUGAGCCCCAUUUGCAGACUUUGAGCAAAUAAUGAUUGUGCACGUUGGAUCAUUUAUUGAGUUUCUCUCGUACACCAAGCACUGGUUGGAUCCCAUGCUUGUUGGUGACAGAACUGCUGUGAUGCCAGUCCUGCGUCCCCUUCAGCCUGUGAAGGAGGAGCACCAUGAACCAGCCAACUAACACGUGUCUAAUCACAUAAAGGGAACUGAACACCAGAGAGCCACAGUCACUUUCCGAAGGUCACACAGCAAGUGCAAAUGAGGCCUCAUCCUCAGGGCUGGGUUCCAGGCCUGCUGGGCAGGUCGGUUACUGCUGCACAAAAUUUCUGUUAUCCUAAAAUUGUUUCAGACAAGCACCAAAGGACGUCCCAUAGUUCUGCUUGACUAAGGUUUAAUGAAGUUAAUGUUCAUACUUUCCACUCUAUUUUUCCACUCUUUAAGGAUCCAAAUUUUCUUGGUGUAGCUGCGUAUAAAAGUUUAACUAUUACAGAGAUAACCACAAAAUUUGAUGAGGCUUCAUUGAGUGGAAAACACUGUAGUCCAAAUAAAUGCAGAAAUCAUUGGUUUGGGAACCAAGGGAUAAAAUGCUCCCAGCUGUGGCAGUUCCUCUUCUACCUUCUUUGAGUGAAUUUGCAACACAGAAAAAGGCUGAUGAAGCUGAGACAUUGAUUAUCAAAGUGCCUUCACUUCCCAGAACCAUCUGACGCAAGAUAGAAUCCAGCUAUGCUUAAUCACCACUUACACAGCACUUUCUGAAAUGCUUUCUACAUCUUAGGAGGACUCUGACUAGAAAAGAUUAGGCCUUCAGCAGCCUGGAAUUGGCCAUCCUAACUGACACCAUCUUGCAGUCACUUGUGAUAAGAGCUGGGCAUCUGCUUCCAAAGGCUCUGCAGCAUCAAAUACUCUGCAUUGCAAAACCAGUGGACCACCUCGCCUAGACAAGGGCUCCUUUAGCUACCCCUGGACUGGUUUGUUCACUUUUUCUUCUAUCUGUUUUGCCCUUUGAUGUUAAAUGUUACUUUGUUUGUUGUAGAAUGUUUAGCCUAUAACAUUCAUAUAUUGAUUAAGUAUACUAUGAUGUAUGGUGUGCAAUACUGACUGGCUUGUGGGGUGACUUGAGCCUGUGUGCUCAGGACUAUGUGCCCGUGACUCCCUAGUGCAUGGGAAGUGUGAUGGAGAAUUGCCUUCUUGGGAACUCCAUGUAGCUCAUGGCUUUUGUGAUUGAAAUACCUUCAAUAAAAGCCUGACAUUGUGGAAAGACACA
rnacentral:lncRNA from 10 species